rnacentral:rRNA from 1 species
CAGUCGCCGCGGUAAUACGAAGGGGGCUAGCGUUGCUCGGAAUGACUGGGCGUAAAGGGCGCGUAGGCGGUUCGUACAGUUGGAUGUGAAAUUCCUGGGCUUAACCUGGGGGCUGCGCUUGAUACUUGGUUGCUUGAGUGGGGAAGAGGGUCGUGGAAUUCCCAGUGUAGAGGUGAAAUUCGUAGAUAUUGGGAAGAACACCGGUGGCGAAGGCGGCGACCUGGUCCUUGACUGACGCUGAGGCGCGAAAGCGUGGGGAGCAAACAGGAUUAGAUACCCGUGUAGUCCCUGUCUCUUAUAC